AUGGUGGCUCGAUCUGCGAUUUCUCGAUUGGCGGGGAUCGACUGUUUGCUCUUCGCAGUGAAGAGAAUGUAUUUGAUGUCUGGGAAACUCCUCCCCCACCAAUACUAUGAUGUCUCAAGAGUCCAGAGUUUUUUGGUCUGUCCUUUGAUAGAUGAUGUUAGGAUAUUAAAGAGAGUAUAUUGUACCACCUGAUUUUCUGAUCUGUAUACCUUAAUCAAAGUGACAGAAAUGGAAGUUAUUGCCAACCAAAAAA